rnacentral:tRNA from 1 species
AGCCUAGUGGACAUGGCAUCUGCCCGGUAAGCGGAACAUUGUGGGUUCGAUUCCCAU